CUCCGGCAACAAUUUGCCCCGGCCGUCCCGCGGGAGGGCGGAGCGCAUGCGCGGCCGUCCCGCUCCCCGCCGGCUCCGGCCCCGGCCCCGGCCCCGGCCGAGGCGGCGCUGGGGGCAGGGCGGGAAGGGGACUGGGACGGGCAGGCGAUGAAGCCCGGGCUCGGCUGUGGGGCAUUAAGCACAUUCAUGGAGAUUUGGGAAAUGGAGAUGUAAAUCGCUGUUACCACGGGCAUCCAGCGCAUCGUGACCGCUGCGGACCGCCCCAUCGCGCUGCCUCCCUCGCCGAUGAUGAAUAUAAAAUAUUUCCCCCUCUUCUCUCCAUUUGUUAUACUUGUUUUUCUUCUCAUCUGAGAAUGUAAUUUUCCUUUGUAUUUGAAUUUCGAACCAAUAAAAGAACUGAUGGUA